UACGAAGGGGGCUAGCGUUGCUCGGAAUCACUGGGCGUAAAGCGCACGUAGGCGGACUCUUAAGUCAGGGGUGAAAUCCUGGAGCUCAACUCCAGAACUGCCCUUGAUACUGGGAGCCUUGAGUUCGGGAGAGGUGAGUGGAACUGCGAGUGUAGAGGUGAAAUUCGUAGAUAUUCGCAAGAACACCAAUGGCGAAGGCGGCUCACUGGCCCGAUACUGACGCUGAGGUGCGAAAGCGUGGGGAGCAAACAGG
rnacentral:rRNA from 1 species